GAGGAGGAGCCCGGAGAUGGGUACUGAGACAAGGACCCAGGCCCUAUGGGGCGCAGCAGGCGCGAAACCUCUGCAAUAGGCGAAAGCCUGACAGGGUUAUUCUGAGUGACUUUCGCUAAGAAAGUCUUUUGACACCUCUAAAAAUGGUGUAGAAUAAGGGGUGGGCAAGUCUGGUGUCAGCCGCCGCGGUAAUACCAGCACCCCGAGUGGUCGGGACGAUUAUUGGGCCUAAAGCAUCCGUAGCCGGUUUUACAAGUCCUCCGUUAAAUCCAACUGCUUAACAGAUGGGCCGCGGAGGAUACUAUAAGACUAGGAGGCAGGAGAGGCAAGCGGUACUCAGUGGGUAGGGGUAAAAUCCGUUGAUCCAUUGAAGACCACCAGUGGCGAAGGCGGCUUGCCAGAAUGCGCUCGACGGUGAGGGAUGAAAGCUGGGGGAGCAAACCGGAUUAGAUACCCGGGUAGUCCCAGCUGUAAACGAUGCAGACUCGGUGAUGGACUAGCUUCAUGCUAGUCCAGUGCCGCAGGGAUGCCGUUAAGUCUGCCGCCUGGGUAGUACGGUCGCAAGACUGAAACUUAA
rnacentral:rRNA from 1 species